AGCCAUCUCACGUUCAAACACCUGUUCCAGUACGAUCAUUAAAGUUAAGCAACGUCCAGCCUGGUCACUACCUAGAUGGGUGAUCGCUUGGGAAUACCAGGUGCUGUAAG